UCCUACGGGACGCAGCAGUGGGGGAUAUUGCACAAUGGGGGGAACCCUGAUGCAGCGACGCCGCGUGGGUGAAGGAGUAUUUCGGUAUGUAAAGCCCUAUCGGCAGGGAAGAAGCAAGACGGUACCUGACUAAGAAGCCCCGGCUAACUACGUGCCAGCAGCCGCGGUAAUACGUAGGUGGCAAGCGUUGUCCGGAAUUACUGGGUGUAAAGGGAGCGCAGGCGGGAAGCCAAGUCAGCCGUGAAAACUACGGGCUUAACUUGUAGACUGCAGUUGGAACUGGGUUUCUUGAGUGAAGUAGAGGG
rnacentral:rRNA from 1 species